AGUGAAAUGCUGAAUACAACAGGUGUAGUAGACCUUACAGUGAAAUGCUGAAUACAAAAGGUGUAGGUAGACCUUACAGUGAAAUGCUGAAUACAACAGGUGUAGUAGACCUUACAGUGAAAUGCUGAAUACAACAGGUGUAGUAGACCUUACAGUGAAAUGCUGAAUACAACAGGUGUAGUAGACCUUACAGUGAAAUGCUGAAUACAACAGGUGUAGUAGACCUUACAGUGAAAUGCUGAAUACAACAGGUGGAGUAGACCUUACAGUGAAAUGCUGAAUACAACAGGUGUAGUAGACCUUACAGUGAAAUGCUGAAUACAACAGGUGUAGUAGACCUUACAGUGAAAUGCUGAAUACAACAGGUGUAGGUAGACCUUACAGUGAAAUUCUGAAUACAACAGGUGUAGUAGACCUUACAGUGAAAUGCUGAAUACAACAGGUGUAGGUAGACCUCACAGUGAAAUGCUGAAUACAACAGGUGUAGUAGACCGUACAGUGAAAUGCUGAAUACAACAGGUGUAGUAGACCUUACAGUGAAAUGCUGAAUACAACAGGUGGAGGUAGACUUUACAGUGAAA